AAAAGAAACAGGAAAUUGUCAUCCAUCAGCAAACUCUCUUCUCCCUUGACCAACCUAGGUACGUUUUGGACUCAUGGUUUCACUUUUCUAUUCUCUCAGCUUACACCCAGAUUUGGCUAUUGUAUGCUCUCUUCUCAUUCGUGUGUGUGUGUGUGUGUGUGUGUGUGUGUGUGUGUGAUGGAGUCUCGCUCUGUUGCCCAGGCUGGAGUGCAGUGGCACAAUCUCAGCUCACUGUAGCCUCCACCUCCUGGGUUCAAGCAGUUCUCCUGCCUCAGCCUCCCGGGUAGCUGGGAUUACAGGUGCCUGCCACCAUGCCUGACUAAUUUUUGUAUUCUUAAUAGAGACGGGGUUUCACCAUGUUGGCCAGGCUGAUCUCGAACUCCUGACCUCAAGUGAUCUACCCGCCUCAGCCUCCCAAAGUGCUGGGAUUACAGGCAUGAACCACCAUGCCUGGCCCCUCCUCAUUCUUUUGUUGAGAACUUUGCACAUAGACUGUUUGGGAGUAUUCCAUCUCAUAAAUCUUUUGCAUUGUUCAUCAUUCUGAAUCCCAUUUCCAUUACUUCAGCCCUUCUCGGGCAGCGUUCCUUACCCUGUUUAGCAUUUAUGUCACUUGCCUUAAAUAGACCUUCUCUUAAUUUCAUCUGAACUGUUAUGCUUUAUGGAGAUUUUUAGCUGAAUGGGGGAGGUUGUGAUUUUAUCGUUAACCCCAUAGGGAGACAGAUCACAUUUGUGAGGAUAUGUUGGAGAGAACCUUGGAGUCAGAGAGAACGGGGUCCAAGCUCUUGUGUUCCUUUUUUCUGGCUGUCAGGCCCUGGGCAAGGGACCUCACCAGUCUGACUCCCAGUUUCCUCAUCUACAAACAUGAGGAUAUAAAUAGUGCUGACCUUGCUGGGUUAUUGGGCCUGGUCUUCAAUGAUGUUAGUUCAUGUCUCUGUCUACUGCUCCCUCCACCCCCUGCCUCAUGCCUUGUUCUUUGACCUUGGCAUUGAUGAUCUUUGGUCUGAUUCUUGGCAUGCACCUUUUCAGAAUCCAUGAGCCUCUAUAAGCAGCUAUUCAUGUUCCAUGCAUUGUGGUCUUUGGGAUUAGGCUGACUUGGGUUCCAAUCCCAAUUCUCCUGCUUAGCACUUGUGUCACUUGAACUCUUGGAGACUCACUUUCCUCAUGGGCCAGUGGGAGAUAUUAUGAGUAUUGCUAUGGCUGGAAUGUGUGUCCCCUCCAAAACUCAUAUUGAAAGUUAAUCCCCAAUAUGGCAGUAUUGACAGGUGGGGCCUUUAAGAGGCCAUUGGGUCAUGAGGGCUGUGCCCUCAUAAAUGGAUUAAUGGGUUAUCAUGGGAGUGGGACUGUGGCUUUAUAGGAGGAGGAGAGACCUAAGUUUCCAAGCUCAGCCCCCUCACCAUGUGAUGCCCUGAGCUGUCUUGGAACUCUGCAGAGAGUCCCCACCUGCAAGAAGGCCCUCACCAGAUGUGGCCCCUCUACCUGGGACUUCGCAGCCUCCAUAACUGUAAGAAAUAGAUUCCUUUUCUUUAUAGAUUGCCCAGUUUCAGAUAUUCUAUUAUAAGCAACAGAUAAUGGACUAAGACAAGUACCAAUCUCUGAAGUUAUCACAAACAUUGGCUGAAAUAAUAUUCUGGAAACACUUAGUGUAGAGCCUGGUAUAUUGUAAGUUGAUCAAUAACAGGUAUUGCUAUUACACGUUAUAGGAACACUAGACUCUAAACCCCUGGAGGCAAGGACUGUGUUUCUUCAUCUUUGUACACCUUUAUCCUUGAAAAGGGCCUGAAACACCGUGGGCCCUCUGCUGGUUUCAGAUCCUUCCAUCUCCUGUAACAAAAACAGAGCUGCUUUGCGGCCAACUUGGCCAGAACACUGGCAUCUCCAUAAAAUCCUACCUGUUACACAAAUGCCACUUUCUAAGAUCCUAGAGACAGGGUGGGAUCAUGAAGUGAAAUGCCUCAGGACUUCAUUGAGUGACCCAACUGCCAGUUGCUGUUGGGAGGAUGGGGAAGGUAGGCGGAAGCCAUGACCCCAACGGGGGCUUCUCUAAAGGGAGGGGCCUUGCUCCAGAGCUGGAUAUCUUAUUUAUGUGUUCUCAUCUCAAUAUUUUUCUGAGAACCUUCUUAGAAUUUCACUGGGAGUCAAAAAACACAUUUUGCCAAAUUCAGAGGCCUUGUAACCACAGGGCCUCAGCCUAGUGACCAAACCGAGACCAAACAGUAACCUUCUGGUGCUGUUUACAGCUGGCAAAAGACCACUUUGGGCUUCACAGUAAAAAGAGUUAGAAAAUUGUAUGAAAAGGCUCAGAAGACUCACGGACAUCAAAUAGCUCUAACCAAACCAAUGUAAUUAGUUAAGUAUAAAUGAAUCAGAACCAUAUGGCUUAAAUGCUAAAGGAAAAAGAGUUGGAGGAAAAAAUGUCCUUUGGGAUUUAAUCAAACAAAAAUUGCUGGAAAAAUCGUUGAUGUCCACCAAGCUCAGACCCCAACUGGGUGCCCUCCAAUCCUGCUUUAGCAUUUCUCUCCUUCCCAAGGUACUCGCCGUGAAGCAAGGGUGACUUCUGGGUCCUGCUCUCUUGAUGCUGGGCGUCAUAGGGAUGGAGUAGGUGUGGAGUGGGCACUAAGGCUCAGGGAAUCUGGGGAGCACUGAGAAGGGGUGCCCAAGUCAGCCCUUGGCAGACUGGGAAUGGCUUCCCUGUGGAGAUGAAACUGAGCCAGGAUUACAAGUAGACGAGGGAUUGUGGGGCUGGGGUGGAGUGGGCAUUUUGGAGGAGGCAGUGGCGUAUGCACGUGCACAGAGGAUAGACGAAACCUGGGACGAUCAUGGAACUGCAAGAAAUUUGGAGUGGCUGGUUCUCAACUCAUGCCUUCCUUCCCUGGCCACCCAAUUAAAGGCACACGGCCUCUUCCAUUCACUCUCAAUCACAUCGCCCUGUGGCAUUCUCCUAGCAACACUUUUCACAGAAAGAAAGAAAUGCUCUCAUCUCUUUCUUUCUCUCAUUGUUAUUUACAUUCCCUGGCAUGUAAGCUUCUUAAGAGAAAGGCUCUUGUUUGUCUUGUCCCCCCACUGUGCACUGUGGUUCUAGCAGCUAACACAGCAUCUGACUUGGAGUGGCUGCCCAGUACGCAUUUGAAGAAUGAAUGAAUGGAAAGUGAAUGAGCGAAUGGCUGGAGAGUAGAAGACGUGAGGGAUGGGGAAAGAAGAAAGACUGGAGAAGUGGGCAGGUGCCAGGCCUGGAAGACUGUACGUGGUGCUAAGAGGCCCCUGAAGGUAAUGGAAAGCCAAUCAAGGGUUUCUAGGAGGAUGUGAUGAGGAUGCGAUAAGGUAACACUGUGUUAUGUUGUUGGGAAUCAGUGAAGGUGGGAAACCUGGAACCCUGGAGAAAAUGAGUGACAACCAAAUCCUACGUUUGUUUGGUGUUUCCCCAUCAUCCCUCAAAGGGUGUGUAAGAUAGUGAGCCAUGUAGAAUAAGUAAUUAAUUAAUGCUGCGGGUUAAUAAGGGGUAGAUGACUCUCAAUUGCUACAUGCAAGCUGUUAUUUUCUCAUUUAGAAAAAGGAUCUUGUGGCUCACUGUGGAAAAUCAUCUUCCAGAAAAAAGAAAGAGACAUGUAUGUCGGCUCUGUCUAGAAUAUUUUCUCUGAACCAGAAUCUCUUUCCGUAGGGUAGCUGCCCUUGGCAACUCUCGGGUUACAAGAAGCUGGGCAGGAGAUUCCUGUGACAUUUCAGCAGAGUCACGAGUGGGUGGGAUGGGGAAGCUCCGAGCUGCAAAAUAGGUAAGUUGCUCAAUGUCCCUGGAAAACCUCCGAGGACAGAACUGAGUGUGAUUUGGGGGAGUAUUUUAGGUUCAGAGACAUCUUUAUGUUAGGCGAGAAAUUCAUGCCCCAGGCUCGUGGAGUUGCUCAUAACAGUGUGUUAUUGCUGGAAGCCCCAGAGGAGCUUGGACUCAGCUCCCUUAACAGGGGGCUGAGCCUCUCUGAGAAAGCUGUUUACUUCCCCAGACACAUCAGUCUCACUUACCCAUGUUUAUUGCUUCUGCUCCUCUGCUUUACCCUCCAGGCCUCAGGUGCAGGAGAAGCCAGUCCUCUUCUCUAAACAGAAGACACUGCAAUCACCGUAGCUAGAUCUUCCUUAGUGUUUGCCAUGUACCCGCUCUCGUUCCAGGCGUGUUCUAGGUGUAUCAUCUAACUGGGCCUUCAGAGCUCGGAAGCUCAGAGAGCUGAAAUCACUUGCUCAAGGUCACACAGUCAGUACAAGUGGAGGUUUGAGCACUGCGCCUCUUAGAGUCCCUCACCUCAGGUGAUUUUAACCCUUACAUAUGGAGCUUGCCAGAAACUCAAGCCCACCCUUUUCCUCCACACCAUGUAACUCUGCCCUGGUUUUAUCAAGAAGCACCUGCCUUCUCUUCUGGAUUUAAAUAGUAACGUUUGUGGUGAGCAUUUGUGGGCUUGGGACUGUUCAGUGGCCAGCAGCACUUCCAUUCCCUAUGGAGACCCACCCUCCAUUGUGUGCCAUCACGGCACAGUGGGUGAUGAACUUGCCCCUUACACAGAAGCACAAACACCCAGUUCUCCCCCUCUCUUCUCCAGCUGCAACCAAACGGUAUGCACAUAAUCCAGGCUAGGGUAGCCACAUGUUCCCUCCAGGACUUGGACCCUUGAGUGAGUGAUUUGGGGCCGGGAGGAGCGGCUGGAGGCUCUCCAGGCCAGCGGCAGCGGUGGCGUGCUGGCCACCCAUUCUCGUGACCUUGCUAAGGCCCCUGUUGCUUAACUCUCUGGCAAGCCCUUGGUUUCUGGCCAUUUUCCAGACUUCAUCACUCUUCUCUGCCAAUUCUAUGAGCCCCUGAUAGCCUUCCAAUAAAUUCCACUUGAUUACCACAUGGCUUGCAAUCAAGAACCCAGCAUAACACACAACCACUUAUUAAAUACUAAGUAAGAGCCAGACACUUGACAUGUGACAUCUUGUCAGAUCCUCAAACACCCCGGUGAGGAAAGCGUUAUUAUCCCUGUUUUCCAAAUGAGGACACUGAGGCUCAGGGAGCUGGGUGAUGUGUCAAAAGUUGCCCAGCUGCAGAGUGGCAAUGCUGGAAUUUGAAGCCAGGCUUUUCUGAUUCUGAAUUCCAUGUUUUCUUACUUGCCUUUUUCUUCUGCUCCAGCUUGCAGUGCCUCGGAGAGGUGGCGCUGGCUAGCCUGGGACUUCCAACAUACAGCCUACAUUGAUGGCCUGAGACUUGUGGCAAAAAAGACUUUCAAAAUCUAAUUUGCUCACAUACAUGAACACCUGCCAGGAAGGAAUUUGAGGCCUUUGUUCUAAACAUGGAAAAGCUGAGUUCAUUUGCCCCAGAGGGGGCACCUGCAGGGAAAAGGAAAAAUGGUUUUAACCCUUUCCUUGAGUCAGAAAAUGAGGCCACCAGAUUCUCCUUUCAUCCUUCAAGUAUCAGAAAGGUCUGUGCUGUGAAUUCCACAGAUGAGAUUCAUUGCAAGAUGUGAGGGCAGAGGAAAUCCAUGGAAAUGAAAUCCACAUUCAAACUGGAUGCAUGCGUUCAGCAACUGGAAGCUGAGUUCAUAUUUCAUUGCCCAACUACCCUGACCACUUGGGAAUCGCAGGUUUGGAAGGACCCACAGCCAUUCUGUGGAAAUGGAUCUGCUUUCAGGACCGAAUCUCAGACUUCUUGGGGAAGGUUUCAGUGGCUGCCUUUGCUGUGCAGACCUGGAGAUGGGUCUGAUGAUCGGACACCUGAAUUAUCUGUGUGGCUGAGUUUCAAGAAGACCUGCUGGGGUGAAAUGAAAAUGGUGCCUACUAGAAGCCCCAGUGGCUUUGCUGGUGGAGGCUAGCUUGCUCAUGUCCUCAUACAGAAGCAGAGAUGCAAGCAAGUGAGAAGGUGGAAGGACUCAGGUCUUGGGCCUUACUCUGAGAACUAUAACACCAUUCCUUCUGCUGCAUUCUCUUGUCUAAAUGACAUGGAUGAAGCUGGAAGCCAUCAUUCUCAGCAAACUAACACAAGGACAGAAAACCAAACACCGUGUGUUCUCACUCAUAGAUUUGCUCCUCCACUGGCUCUUCUUGUAGACACACGACUGCUACAGUAUCAAGGGUCUGAUGCAGACAUGACAAUGUCAAGAGGAAGAGGAGAGCCUCGCUCUUCCCAGGCUUUUGCUUUUAAGAGCAGAAAAACUUUCCCCAGAGUUCCACCAGCUCACUUCUCAUCUUACUUCUUUGGCCAGAACUGGCCCUUGUGCCCAUAUUGUCAGUCAAAUGCCGACAAAGGAAAGGGGCCACUAUGAGUGGUUUAGACUUGGAUUGGAUUUGUCCUUAUUGGAUUGUCCUUAAGUCCUUUGAAAAAGAAGUAUACAACAGAAUGAAAUCUUGACUCAGCUUUCAAGAAUAAAGAGGGUGAGAUGACUGAUGGAUGGCUAGCAAAAUCAGAUGUGGGCUCUGUCCUCAUGGAGCAUACAGUCAGAAGGGGAAGAUUUACCUAAUUACACUAACAAACUUAUAACUGUGGUCAGUGUUCUGAAGGAAAGGAAAUCCAGUUGUAUGGUAACGUAUAACAAAGAAACUGAACUAGGAUGGAGAUGGGGGUGGUAAGUGUAGUUGGGGAAGCCAGGGACAUGAUCUGUAAGAUGGCUGGCCUGGAUUCAAAUUCCACUCCACUUACUUGCUGUGUGAUUUUAGAUUAGUCGCUUCUCCUCUCUGAGCUCAACUUCAUCUAUAACAAUCUUUCCUAGGGUUGUUAAAGGAUUGAAUGAGCCACUCUAUGUAACCACUUGACACAUAUUAGGCACUUCAGUGGCUCCUUUUCCAGAUUAAAGAAGGAGAAAACGUGUAUGUUUGGAGUUAGCACAAGACAGGAUGAUUCCUCAUGUUUGUUUUGGAAAACAAGUCUUAAACUCACAGCCAUGACAGAGUCUGACAUCAUCAGACAUCAGGCGUGUUAAGAAUUGCACUCUUAAUUGAAAAUGUCCAGAGUUUGUGAUUAAUUGCAAUCCUUUUCAGAUCCUUUCCCUAAGAAUUUAAUUUUUCUCCCCACCCACCCGGAGGUCAGGCUUUUAAUGUAACAAGUACAAUCAAUCUUCCACUGAAGAUGGCCUCUCUCUAGUGCAAGCUGGAGCAGGACUCAUCUGGAUUAGAAGCCUAGACGGUUUGGAGUCACCUGGUGAGGUUUACGUGCACAGCUGGGGCCCAGCCUACCUAAUUAGGACCAGAGAGUGGUUGAGAAGGGGACCGGCGCGUAUUCUAGGCGCCCUCCUCCAGUGUCUGUUUCUAAUAAUGGCAGAAAGUAGCAGAGGCGGCGGGGUGAGCUUGGAGCGUGGUGACAUCAUCCCUCCAGCUGUUUUACACAUCUGUGACAUGGCUCAUUAGGACUCUCUUAACACCUCAUCCUUCCCUGCUCCACACAGCUCCAGUUGCAUGAGAAAAGGUGCUCUUGCAUGUGAGGGGCCCCAAGACUGGGGCUGACUUCAGGGUCAAAGAUUCGCUUGGGCACUCUACCAGUCAUCAGAAUUUUCACAGAGACACCCCCCCAACACACACACCCGCAGCAUGCGCUCCUUGAAAGUGCUAAUAGCUUCAAUAUGAGGCUGGCACUUCUGCAUGACUGUUGGUGUUCAGGGCCAGCCUAGUCUUGGGGAGUAGGCCAUCUGUAGCAGCUGCAGAAAUGUUUUUGCUUAUUUUGAGCAUUCUAAGUUUUUCCUAGCCAUGAAUAACAACAAUCGAAUAAAUCAUCCCACAGUGUG